rnacentral:lncRNA from 1 species
GCUGCGGUGGUGCGCAGGCUCCCUGUGGAAAAUCUCCUAAGCAGCCUAGAGCUUGCCUUGCAGUGUUUUUUGGAUGCUUCAGUCUCAAGAAGCUGAGAUGAUGUGGGGCUCUCGGUCUCAGCGAGUAUUUCUGCAUUAGCAGCCUCAGGCUGAAAGAGCUCUCAGUAUUUGAUGCUAGCUUUUGAAUCCACACUGGCCCUUUUUCGUCGAGCGUGAGCUGCAAGGAGCUCAACAGCAGCGGCAUUUAGUUCAAUUUCUUCAGAUAAACUGGAAAUUUUCAAUAAUGGCAAUACGUUCAUUCUGCCAUUUGGAGGAGCCUGUGCCACAGAAUAAUGAUCUGAAGAAAGCUCACUUAUUUGCAAGGAAGAGUCUUCAUUUGGGAAGUAGUUCCGUUGCAGCUAACAGGUGCUUUGUCAAGUUCAGAACCUCCUGUUUGUGGACAAAAUUGGGGUUUCCUCAAAGAGAGUCCUGUAUCUGAAGAGUGAGAAGCACUAGGUCUUUGACAUUCAGUGGGAUGAGAAUCUCAGAACAGACUGACUACUGGGGACUCCCAAGCUACAGUUCAGAAACCAUUUUGUUAGGUGUGGGUUGCUUGUCAGAAAUCCAUUCGAAGCUUGAGUGCAAGGCAAGCAGGGUACUAAUGAUGGAUAUGAAUGGAUAUCUUCAGGAUAACAAUGGAUGCAGCAUCUUCAAAAGCAGUGUCAUUCUGGCUCUGCCACUGGAUUUGUUCAAAUGGACCUUGAUAGCCAUGGGGCCUGACUGAGUUGAUGAGACUCUGGGUGACUGCAAGUUUCUACUCUGAAGAUCUGAUUGUAGGCUUCAACCUAAAUUUCUAUUUUAUUCCUCUGUCUAUUUCCUUCUAAUACAUGAAAAUUAUCCUACAAAAUGGUAUUGUCUUUGAGUCUCAUGCACACCUACUUUAAUAGCAUUCAGAUACCAUGUGCUUGGGAUGUUGUCAGAGAUCGUUAAAACACUUCUGUUGUGUCAUAUGCCAAAACCUCAUCAUUGCUGUGAUUAUUGCGUUAUAUUUUUACAUUCAGUGGCUUCCUACCUAAAAUGGAGAUCAUCAUCUGUGUUUUCAGUCAUUGUGGUAUUUCUCUUAACUCAGAUUUGGAAGUCAGAGUAACUGUUAGAACUCUAUUCAGGUCUACACUUUUAAAGGUGCUAGUAGACUUGGUUUUGUUUGUUGAACACAAAUAAGUUCUAUUUUACUUUAUUUUGCAAUGUGCUGUUUUUUUAGUAGCCUACUACUACUGAAAGCUUUCAAUAUGAUGAUACCCUGUGAUGUAGACCAAUAAAAUAAGUAGGAAAAGGC